UACAGAGGUCUCAAGCGUUGUUCGGAUUCAUUGGGCGUAAAGGGUGCGUAGGUGGCGGGGUAAGUCAGGUGUGAAAUCUCGAGGCUCAACCUCGAAACUGCACUUGAUACUGCCUUGCUAGAGUACUGGAGAGGAGAUUGGAAUUUACGGUGUAGCAGUGAAAUGCGUAGAUAUCGUAAGGAAGACCAGUGGCGAAGGCGGGUCUCUGGACAGUUCCUGACACUGAGGCACGAAGGCCAGGGGAGCAAACGGG
rnacentral:rRNA from 1 species